rnacentral:rRNA from 1 species
AUGGACGGCGCCGGGGGCGGGGGAGGAGGGCCGCACCCCUCCCGGAGGAGCAUCUCCUCGGCCGCCGGCCCCAGGAGGAGGGGCCCGUCCAUGGAGAACGGCCACGACGCCGCCGCCGCCGCCAGGAGGUCCUCCGCCACCAUCUCCCGCACCACCUCGACGGUGACUGGGGAGAGAACCGUUAAGAGACUGAGACUGUCCAAGGCACUGACGAUACCGGACCACACGACUGUGUAUGAGGCUUGUCGGAGGAUGGCCGCACGUAGAGUUGAUGCCGUGUUGCUGACGGACUCCAACGCGUUGCUUUGCGGGAUCCUUACUGACAAGGACAUAACCACAAGGGUUAUUGCUCGUGAAUUGAAGCUAGAAGACACACCAGUUUCCAAGGUCAUGACUAGAAACCCUCUCUUUGUUCUCGGGGACACUCUCGCGGUCGAGGCAUUGCAGAAAAUGGUGCAAGGUAAGUUCAGACAUUUACCUGUUGUGGACAAUGGGGAAGUCAUUGCGCUACUGGACAUAGCCAAGUGCCUAUAUGAUGCUAUUGCACGAAUGGAAAGGGCAGCUGAGAAAGGAAGAGCAAUUGCUGCUGCUGUUGAGGGUGUUGAGAAGCAUUGGGGAACAUCUGUAUCUGGUCCCAACACUUUUGUUGAAACUCUUCGUGAACGGAUGUUUAGGCCAUCACUGUCGACAAUUAUAUCUGAGAAUUCAAAAGUGGCUACUGUUGCACCAACUGACACUGUGUUGACUGCAUCAAAAAAGAUGCUUGAACUAAAAGUAAGUUCAGCAGUUGUUGCGAUUGAAAACAAGCCUGGCGGGAUUCUGACCUCGAGAGAUAUAUUGAUGCGUGUUAUAGCCCAAAAUCUUCCACCUGAGUCUACUACAGUCGGGAAGGUUAUGACCCAGAGUCCAGAAUGUGCCACGAUUGACACCCCGAUCCUUGAAGCCCUACACACAAUGCAUGAUGGAAAGUUUCUGCAUUUGCCUGUUCUAGACAGGGAUGGGAGUGUUGUAACCGUUGUUGAUGUCCUUCACAUAACUCAUGCUGCAAUUGCAACGGUCGGAAACAGCGGAGCAACAGGCUCUGAGGCGACUUCUUCCAUGAUGCAGAGGUUCUGGGAUUCAGCAAUGUCAAGUGGGCCUCUUGAUGAUGAUGAUGAUUCCAGAAGCGAAGGAUCAACUAAAGUGGCAUCCGAGGCAGCAGAUAUAGGAAGAUCAGCCUUCUUUCCGCCUUCAGGCUUAUCAAACACUUUUGGGUUCAAGAUUCAGGACAAACAAGGCAGGAUGCACAGAUUUAACUGUGAAACGAGUAGCCUGGCUGAAUUGAUAACUUCCAUUCUGCAAAGACUUGGCGACGACAUUGAUAAAUUGAACCUACCUCAAAUUCUGUACGAAGAUGAUGAUCACGAUAAAGUCAUACUCUCAUCAGACACCGACCUUAUAGCGGCUGUGGACCAUGCAAGACAAAUCGGUUGGAAGAGCUUGAGGCUGCACUUGGAUUACGCCGGUGUUGGCCGCCGGAAGCGAGGAGCCGUCUCAUCGGAUUUCGAGUACGCUGGAAGGGACGCAUGGGCUUCCGCGUACGGCACCGUCGCGGCCGGCGCGGCCCUGGUGGCCGGCCUCGGCGUGAUGGCCUACCUGAAAAGAGGAGGCUAA